GGAGCUGGUGAGUCGAGUAGACGCAAGAGGCUCCUUGUUGUCCCAUCUCUCCACACAAGAAAACUAACUCAAAGAAGCGACGCUGGCAGAGAACAAAAAAGCUUCUUAACUUCAUGGAACUUUUUGGCAUACUGAACUGUGGUUCUUCCAGAAACUUUGCUAUCUCAUUUAUGAUAAGGAUGGUUCUCACCAGGGUAUAAUAAGAUGACGACUUUGGAGAAAUUUGAACAAUGGACUCCAACUUCUUAAGUACACUGAAACCAACAGAAGACAGCUCAUUCAUCCAGAAACACUGAGCACAUGAAUAACACUGAGGGGCACCCAAGAAACAUCUGUUGCCAUCUUGCUGCAAAGAAUUUCUGCCAGCGGUAGAAAGCCAACUUGCAUUCACAUUAAGCACCACAUAUUUGUCAGCUUCACCAUCUCUUCUCAAUCCAAAGUACUUGGCACAAAGAUCUUCGUACAUAACUGCAUAAUCAUUUAAUUCUGGACCAUUGGCGUGGCAAAGUUGAGAUAGUACUUUGAUUAUGAUUGACUUCCAGUUAUUCCAAACAUAAAACAGAGUUUGGGGUGACAUUUGGUUAGAGGCCAACAUAUCAUUACAACUAUUUUCAUCCUCAGAUCCUGGCCCUAAUUCUAUAUUGUAUCCAGAGGCUCGAGACUGAAGAUGAACAUCAAGAAUCGAACGGGAAGCAACGAGUUCAACUUACAAGUUUGCACAUUUUCUGCCCUCAACCAAAGUGCAAUUUAAACUGGGAAGAGACUUAUUCACAUCUGACAGUGCAUCAGCUUCCACGCAAACAAAGCAGUAGAAGCACUCAGAGACCUUUUCUGCCAUCUCUUUUGCUUUUGAAAGCAAUUGUUCCUUAUCUAC